rnacentral:rRNA from 1 species
ACUGGGCGUAAAGCGCGCGUAGGCGGUUUGUCAAGUUGGAUGUGAAAUCCCUGGGCUCAACCUAGGAACUGCAUUCAAAACUUAUAGACUAGAGUACGAUAGAGGAGAGUAGAAUUCCUGGUGUAGCGGUGAAAUGCGUAGAUAUCAGGAGGAAUACCAAUGGCGAAGGCAACUCUCUGGAUCGACACUGACGCUGAGGUGCGAAAGCGUGGGUAGCAAACAGGAUUAGAUACCCUGGUAGUCCACGCCGUAAACGAUGAGAACUAGCCGUUGGAUCUUAGAUUCAGUGGUACAGCUAACGCAUUAAGUUCUCCGCCUGGGGAGUACGGCCGCAAGGCUAAAACUCAAAUGAAUUGACGGGGGCCCGCACAAGCGGUGGAGCAUGUGGUUUAAUUCGAUGCAACGCGAAAAACCUUACCAACCCUUGACAUCUAGUGAAAUUUCUAGAGAUAGAUUUGUGCCUUCGGGAACACUAUGACAGGUGUUGCAUGGCUGUCGUCAGCUCGUGUCGUGAGAUGUAUGGUUAAGUCCAGUAACGAGCGCAACCCCUAUUCUUAUUUGCCAGCACUUCGGGUGGGAACUAUAAGGAGACCGCCGUGUAUAACACGGAGGAAGGCGGGGACGACGUCAAGUCAUCAUGGCCCUUACGGGUUGGGCUACACACGUGCUACAAUGGGAGAUACAGAUGGUUGCGAAAGCGCGAGCUGGAGCUAAUCCCAAAAAGUCUUCCUCAGUCCGGAUUGGAGUCUGCAACUCGACUCCAUGAAGCAGAAUCGCUAGUAAUCGUGAAUCAGAAUGUCACGGUGAAUACGUUCUCGGGCCUUGUACACACCGCCCGUCACGUCAUGGGAGUGUGUU